UAAGAAGUGGACAGGGUUGCAAUUGGUGGGGUCUUUUUGUUUCAACAAUUCACUGCAGAUCUGGACUACAAUUAAAGCCAUCGCUUUACAGUUUUCUCCGGCUUUAUGUUCUUGUCCUGUGCCAAAUUGUUUAAGUGAUUUCAUCUGGUUUUGAAAGCAUCUUUGUCAAGGAGCACUCCCAGCUUCUACAGAUCUUCACAUACAUUGGUAUCAUGAUUUAACCAAACCAUGAAAUACUGCAGAGUUGAUUUCCUCACUGCUUUGGCAAUUGGAACAAGGCUAUGACAAGGAAAAAAUACAGACUACACUGGGCAUUUGAAGGGGACAAGACGGUGAAGAAAAUAGGCACUGAAAAUAUGUUUAACUCUUGAAAAUGCAACAAUGGAAGGCAAGAUCCUCUUCUCUCCUAAAGGUAAUGGAAACCUUUUCAAAUAGAUAAUUUAUCUACAGGGCUUGAACUGAGCUGGUACAGAGCACUGGCACAUCUUCAUUUUUUGUUCUUUGUUAGCAUACUAGCAUGCAUAAUGCAUCAUGAAUAACACACAAUGAUCUCUGAUCAAAUGUACAUAUAAACAGAGAAUACCAGUACUUAUGUGUUUCUACUUCGGGCACUGGUUAUCCACACAAAUGAUUCA